rnacentral:rRNA from 1 species
ACGAACGCUGGCGGCGUGCUUAACACAUGCAAGUCGAGCGGUAAGGCCCUUCGGGGUACACGAGCGGCGAACGGGUGAGUAACACGUGAGCAACCUGCCCCUGACUCCGGGAUAAGCGGUGGAAACGCCGUCUAAUACCGGAUAUGACACACCAUCUCCUGGUGGUGUGUGGAAAGUUGUAUCGGUCAGGGAUGGGCUCGCGGCCUAUCAGCUUGUUGGUGGGGUAAAGGCCUACCAAGGCGAUUACGGGUAGCCGGCCUGAGAGGGCGACCGGCCACACUGGGACUGAGACACGGCCCAGACUCCUACGGGAGGCAGCAGUGGGGAAUAUUGCACAAUGGGCGAAAGCCUGAUGCACCGACGCCGCGUGGGGGAUGACGGCCUUCGGGUUGUAAACCUCUUUUACCACCAACGCAGGCCCCGGGUUCUCUCGGGGUUGACGGUAGGUGGGGAAUAAGGACCGGCUAACUACGUGCCAGCAGCCGCGGUAAUACGUAGGGUCCGAGCGUUGUCCGGAAUUAUUGGGCGUAAAGAGCUCGUAGGCGGCGUGUCGCGUCUGCUGUGAAAGACCGGGGCUUAACCCCGGUUCUGCAGUGGAUA